GCCUACGGGAGGCAGCAGUGGGGAAUAUUGCACAAUGGGGGAAACCCUGAUGCAGCAACGCCGCGUGAGUGAAGAAGUAUUUCGGUAUGUAAAGCUCUAUCAGCAGGGAAGAAGAUGACGGUACCUGAGUAAGAAGCCCCGGCUAACUACGUGCCAGCAGCCGCGGUAAUACGUAGGGGGCAAGCGUUAUCCGGAUUUACUGGGUGUAAAGGGAGCGUAGACGGCGGCGCAAGUCCGGAGUGAAAGCCCACGGCCCAACCGUGGGACUGCUCUGGAAACUGUGCGGCUUGAGUGCGGGAGGGGCG
rnacentral:rRNA from 1 species